rnacentral:rRNA from 1 species
GAUGAACGCUGGCGGCGUGCCUAAUACAUGCAAGUCGAGCGAACAGAUGAGGAGCUUGCUCCUCUGACGUUAGCGGCGGACGGGUGAGUAAAACGUGGAUAACCUACCUAUAAGACUGGGAUAACUUAGGGAAACCGGAGCUACUACCGGAUAAUAUAUUGAACCGGAUGGUUCAAUAGUGAAAGACGGUUUUGCUGUCCCUUAUAGAUGGAUCCGCGCCGCAUUAGCUAGUUGGUAAGGUAACGGCUUACCAAGGCAACGAUGCGUAGCCGACCUGAGAGGAUGAUCGGCCACACUGGAACUGAGACACGGUCCAGACUCCUACGGGAGGCAGCAGUAGGGAAUCUUCCGCAAUGGGCGAAAGCCUGACGGAGCAACGCCGCGUGAGUGAAGAAGGUCUUCGGAUCGUAAAGCUCUGUUAGUAGGGAAGAACAAAUGUGUGAGUAACUAUGCACGUCUUGACGGUACCUAAACAAAAAGCCCCGGCUAACUACGUG